UGUAGGACUGGGGAGAUAGCUCAGUUGGUAGAGUGCUUGCCUGUCAAGCACGAGGCCCUGGGUUCGAUCCUCAGCCCUGCAA